rnacentral:lncRNA from 1 species
UGAAUUCACAUCUAUGGUUGCCACCCUACUUGGAUUGUCACAAGGCAUCACGCUCUUAUUAGCUAAAUCUCUUCUUCUUUUCGAUUAUGAAACAGCUUAUUACCAUGAAUACUCUGUUGGAUUCUCGGGUGUCCUGUUUGCAAUGAAAGUCGUACUUAAUUCACAUUCAGAUGGCUACACUAAUCUCCAUGGAUUUGUGGUGCCCGCAAAGCAUGCUGCUUGGGCUGAAUUGGUUCUCAUCCAAUUGCUUGUUCCUAAUGUGUCCUUUCUAGGCCAUCUUGGUGGGAUACUCGCAGGCAUAGUUUAUCUACGUUUAAAAAAAGCCCCUUCUCCUUUGGCAACAAUGGUGAAAGGGUUAACUUCUUUAGUAAGAUCUCUACAUAUGCGAAUAUGGCAGCAGUCCCCUCCACGACAAAGGAGAACAAGUGCAGUUGCAGGUGGUAUAUGGAGGUGCCGGGCUUGUACAUAUGACAACUCCGGUUGGUUAAGUGUGUGGGACAGGGCGUGGUGAUGAUGGAUUAUCUUCUGCGCAGUUGUCAAAUUCAGAGAUGAUUCCUUUAGAUGAACUACGACACCGAAGGAUUCUGUAAAGAAACAUAAUCGACACAAGAUCUUCCCAACAUCAUCAUUUCAUUCACUAUGAAACAGAUGGUUUACAUCAACAUAUUACAACUCAAACCUUACUACAAAAUCACUCAUACCCUCAUAUUACAGAUCUUGUAAAACAACGAUUUAUGAACAAACCCUAACUUGAGAUGAAAGAGAAAACUGAGAGAUAAGAUGAGGAAAAAUAUCUUCGUAUAUGUAUAAUGAGAUCACCUAACACUUCAUAUAUCAUAACCCACUAAACAUCGGGUAUAACUCGUAUAUCAAUUGACCCGCGUGUCCUUUACCUACAGAAUAAUAACAUGUAUACAAAAUACAUACAAAUAUAUUGUUUAUCAUUUUAAUUAACUAACAUAUUAACACAUUUAACAAAUUAAUGUUUAAGUUUGAAACUUUAUUAAUUCUUUUCAACAUGCCCCCUCAAACUAAACAUUAAUUUUGACAAAAAAUUUAAUUCUUCUUAAAAAUAUCAAUCAUAUUAAGUCGACUUAUAAUAUAUUCAUGUUGAACACUACCAAGUGAUUUUGUUAAAAUAUCUGCAUUUUGAUUUGAAGACAUUAUUUUAUUAACUUUUAAAAUUCCAUUUUCAAUUUUCUCCCUAACAAAAUGAAGAUCAAUCUCAAAAUGUUUUGUCUUCUCAUGAAAUACAGGAUUUAAAGCCAACUUAAUUGCAGAUUCAUUAUCACAAAAAAUAUCAACAGGUAAAUUAGUUUUUAUACCUAAAUCAUGAAGUAAUUUUAAAAUCCAUAUCAACUCACAAGUUAUACUUCCUAAUGCCCUAUAUUCUGAUUCUGUGGAUGAACGAGAAACAAUAUUCUGUUUCUUGCUCUUCCAAGAAACAAGAGAUCCUCCUAGAUAUACAAGAUAUCCUAUUACAGAUCUUCGACUAAACAAGCAUUUUGCCCAGUCUGCAUCCACAAACCUAAUCAAAUCUAAACUACCAGAGUUAAUUAUAUGAAUUCCCAUACCAGGACUGUUUUUCAAGUAUCUCAAAAGUCUGAAAGCAAUAUUAACAUGAGACUUAUAAGGCUUAUGCAUGUACUGACUUAAUAUUUGCACAGCAUAAGAUAUAUCAGGUCUAGUCACAGUUAAAUAAAUCAACUUACCAAUAAGUUUUUGAUAUUCAGUUAUAUUAACUAAAUAAUCAGAUUUUUCCAAAUCAUAUUCUCUUUUGACAACCAAAUUAGGUUCAAGUGGAGUUUUAACUGGUUUACAUGCUAGCAUACCAAACUCAUGAAGCAAUUCCAUACAAUAUUUCCUUUGAUUUAAACAUAUACCUUUUUCAGUUCUCAAUACUUCAAUACCUAAAAAAUAUUUCAAUUCACCUAAAUCUUUAAUUAAGAACUGAGAUUUAAGAAACAUUUUAACUUUAUUUAACUCAGACUCAUCAUUACCUGUUAGAAUGAUAUCAUCUACAUAAACCAGUAGAACUAUAAAAGUAUUUUGAAAUUGUCUAACAAAUAAUGAAUAAUCAUUAACACUUUGCUUAAAACCAAAACUUAAGAGAGAAGAAGACAACCUUUCAUUCCACUUCCUUGGGGCUUGUUUAAGUCCAUAAAGGGACUUUAACAACCUGCAAACCCUGAUAUCAUCCUUAGAAUGAUAUCCCUCAGGUUGACACAUAUAUACAUUUUCAGAUAAAUUUCCAUAUAAAAAAGCAUUAUUAAUAUCUAACUGAUAAAGUGGCCAAGAACUGUUUACUGCCAUUGUUAUUACCACACGAACAGUUACAAUUUUUGCAACAGGAGAAAAAGUCUCCUCAUAGUCUAUUCCUUCCCUCUGAUUAUAUCCUUUAGCCACAAGCCUAGCUUUAUAUCUUUCUAUAUCACCAUUAGAUUUAUAUUUAAUUUUAUAUAUCCAACGACACCCAAUUGCUUUUCUUCCUUUAGGAAGAUUAGUAAUUUCCCAAGUAUUAUUCCUAUAGAGGGCUUCCAUUUCCUCAUUCAUAGCUUUGAUCCAAUUUGGAUCUAAAGCUGCUUCACUAUAAGUUUUAGGUUCAACUGUUUUAUUAAGAUUAGAAAUAAAACAGAAUGACUCAGUAUUAAGAGCUGAAUAAUUUACUGUUCUUUCAAUACCAUAUUUAUGUUUACCCUCUAUAACAUAAUCACUAAAUCUAACUGGCAUGUGAACAUUCCUUCCAGACCUAGUGAUCCUAGUAGACAAGCUUUCAGAAGGAUUAGAAUUAAUUGAAUCAGUUUCCUCAGUCAAUGCAGAAGAACUUGGAAACAACUCAUCAGAGAGAGGCACAUCUACCUCACCAGUCCGGUUGCUGACAUUAGAGGGAAAAGUCUCAUCCUGGUCCUGGUCUGCAUUAGCACCAUCCAUCUGAUGGCUACUUCUCAAGUUAUCUGCUCUAGUAUUAUCUAGAAUAAAACUAGAAUUUGUAGACUCAUCAUAGGAAAAUAGGUCAUUUGAAUUUACAUUGACAACUGAACUAUCAGUUAAAGAUGAAGUUUUAAUCUUGAAAGGAAACACUGACUCAUAAAACUUUACAUCCCUGGAAACAAAGAUAAGAUUAGAAUCAAGACUGAGAACUUUGUAACCCUUUUUAUCAGAAGAAUAACCAAGAAAAACACACUUAUCAGCCCUUUCAGAAAAUUUAUCAUUAUUAUUCAGCUUAGAUACAAAACACAAACAUCCAAAUGACCUAAGUUUAUCAAAAACAGGUGCACAAUUAUAAACAAUUUCAUAGGGAGAAGAACCAUUUAAAACUGAAGUAGGUGUUCUAUUAAUCAAAAAAACUGAAGUUAAUAUAGCAUCUCCCCAAUGUUUAAUUGGCAAACCAGACUGAAACAUUAAAGACCUAGCAACAUUUAAAAUGUGCCUGUGUUUUCUCUCCACAACACCAUUUUGUUGUGGAGUAUGAACACACGAUGUUUGAUGCAAAAUUCCUUUUGAUUCAGUUAGUUGUCUCAUUCUGUUGUUCAAAAACUCUGUACCAUUGUCAGAUCUAACAGUUUUAAUUUUAACACUAAAAUGAUUAAUCAAAAUAUUAAAGAAAACAAGAACAGAAUCAUAAACUUCAUCCUUAGACUUUAAAAGAUAAACCCAAGUUGCCCUAGUAAAAUCAUCCACAAUAGUCAAAAAAUACCUAAAUCCUUCUGAAGUUGUCACUUUAUAAGGACCCCAAACAUCCAAAUGAACUAACUCACCAAGUUUAGAAGUAGUAUGCUGACUAAUAGGAAAGGAUUCUCUAGUUUGUUUAGCCUUAUGACAAAUGUCACAAGGUGGAAGUACUUCACUUCCAAUCUUAAGUUUAUGUCUCAAAGAACUUAAAACUUGAUCAGAAGGAUGGCCAAGUCUAUUGUGCCAAGUUAACUUAGACACACAACAAACAGAAGAAGAAAUAAUCACAAGGUGGAAGUACUUCACUUCCAAUCUUAAGUUUAUGUCUCAAAGAACUUAAAACUUGAUCAGAAGGAUGGCCAAGUCUAUUGUGCCAAGUUAACUUAGACACACAACAAACAGAAGAAGAAAUAAUAGAAUUAGAUAGACUACCUGAAGGUGCACUAUUAAUGUAAUAGAGACCUCCAGACUCUCUACCACUCCCCACCANUAAUGUAAUAGAGACCUCCAGACUCUCUACCAUUCCCCACCAUCACCUUUGACUGUAAAUCCUGAAUUUUGCAAUUAUGCUCAUUAAAAACAACUUCACAAUUACUAUCUUUACAGAACUUAUGAACAGAAAGCAAAUUAACAUUGAAAUCAGGAACAACAAAAACAUCAAACAGUGUUAAAGAAUUGGAUAAAUUCAUGUUACCAAUUUUUUUAAUUUUAGCUGAUGUACCAUUGGGAUGACACACCAGCAGAUCCAAAUUUGACACAUCCACAGUGUCAUGGAGCAGUGACUCAGAGGCAGUCAUAUGUUGAUUAGCCCCUGAAUCAACUAUCCAUCUUUGACUACAGACAGAAGAAUUAAAAGCUUAAAAAUAACAAGUACCUGUCAUAUUAGCACUAACAGAAGCUUCUUCAUUCACUUGCUUAUCACCAAUAAGUUGUAAAAGUUUGAAAUACUGAUCCUUAGUAAGGUAAUGAAACUCAGAAUCACCAGAAAAAUUAUUAGUACUAGCACUUCCAGAAGAAGUGGUAGUAGAAUUAGCAGAAAAGUUUUUAACAAAGUUAUUCUGAUUAUUAGUUUCACUUCUUGACCUAAAAUCCUUAGGAUACCCAAUUAUUUUAUAGCACUUCUCAAUGGUAUGACCCUUAAUACCACAAUUCUUACAUUGAACAGUUUGACCCUUAUUUUUUAUUAACAUUAGUCUUGUUAUUAAACUUGCUAUUAAAAGCAGAUGUCUGAGACUUAUUUAUAGACUGAGAAGCUUGAAGAGAAGUCAAAGAACCAUUUCUUUGAAGUGAUUCUUCUCUAGACACAAUAGAGAAAGCAGUUUUCACAUUAGGUAAGGGAUCCAUUAACAAAAUGUGACUUUUGACUUGACUAUAUGAAUCAUCAAGUCCAGAUAAAAAUUGCAUAAGCUUCAUGAGAUUUGAAUGAUCCUUUAGUUUAAUAGAAGCAUCACAGGUACACUCUGUUAAACUAGUAAGACCAUCAAAUUCUUUCCAUAAAGAAUCAAGCUUAUUGAAGUAAUCAGACAGAGAAGUACCAUUUUGUUUAAGAGAAUUAAUUUGUUGAUGUAUAUUAAAAACAACAGAUCCAUCAGAUUUAUUGUAUGUUUCAAAAAGAUUUUCCCAAAUAUCCUUUGCUACUUCAUAAUAGGCUUGACUCUGAUAGAUUGAGUCAGAUAUAGAAGACAACAACCAAGAACAAACAACAACAUUAGCUCUAUCCCAUUUAGUUUUCUUUGACUCAUCGACACUGCUUUUUUUACAAGUACCAUCAACAAAGCCUAACUUAUUCCUAGCUUUAAGAGCUCUAGAAAUUGAACUUCUCCAUAACCUAAAAUUUUCAUUACCAGUCAACUUGAUUGUAAUUAUAGAAGUAACCGCAUUAUCAGAAGGGUGAAUAUAGAGAGGAUCAUCAAAAUUAAUCAGAUCAUCCUUCCCACUUCCACUGGGUGGAUCAGUUGUCUCACCCGUCAUAGAAGCAAAUGAGAAUAGAACUCAAGAAAAGAGACUCAAGAAAACUUGCCCCUGAACUGAUCUUAUGUCCAGAUGGUCACCACGUAUAUCGGGGCCCAAGACAACCAGAACAGAGGAAGAACUAAGCAGAUAUACAAAAAUAAAAUCAAUCAACACAACAUAGAUCACCAGGAUCUUUACAAACAAAUAUGUAAGACAAAGAACAAGAAUAAGAAAUUGCUCACAAAGCUUUUUUUCGACGAGUCAAGUGCAGAGAACGACUCUCUUUGUCCGUUCUCAACUAGGGUUUAUCAGUGAUGAAAUCUGACCCCUAGUGAGUUAUUUCAGACUUAGAGAUUAAUCGAUUUGGCUUAAUCUUUGUUCACAACGAGUCUUGUAAACAAACUUGAUUUGAUCGUCACAGAAGAAACCUACAAGAUCACAACAAUCUCGCAGUACCAGAUACAAACAAAAAACAGAUGUUCGAUUGGAUUUUCUAACGAAAACCCUAAAUCAACUGAACAUCAGAAAGAGUGACACAGUUGAUGAAAUCGAAAAUCAGAGUUCACACGAACUCAUGAUACACAACAACUGUGUCAGUCAAGGAAGAGAUCGAAAACAAGUUAAUGAAAGGGUUUAAGAAAUUACCAGGACGAUCGUGAGACGAACAAUCGCAAAUCAACGAACAUCACAAGAACACCGAAGGAGGCAUAGCUCUGAUACCAUGUAAAGAAACAUAAUCGACACAAGAUCUUCCCAACAUCAUCAUUUCAUUCACUAUGAAACAGAUGGUUUACAUCAACAGAUUACAACUCAAACCUUACUACAAAAUCACUCAUACCCUCAUAUUACAGAUCUUGUAAAACAACGAUUUAUGAACAAACCCUAACUUGAGAUGAAAGAGAAAACUGAGAGAUAAGAUGAGGAAAAAUAUCUUCGUAUAUGUAUAAUGAGAUCACCUAACACUUCAUAUAUCAUAACCCACUAAACAUCGGGUAUAACUCGUAUAUCAAUUGACCCGCGUGUCCUUUACCUACAGAAUAAUAACAUGUAUACAAAAUACAUACAAAUAUAUUGUUUAUCAUUUUAAUUAACUAACAUAUUA